CCUUGAUGAAAAUUAGCCAGACUGCUUUUCUCUUUACAUGUAGCUAGCUCUGCUUCUACGAUUCUAUAAUUUCACAGCCUAGUCUGACUACUUGUCAUUCUCUUUUAUUAUUGCAGGGUAUGAGUGAUAUUCAAAGACAUGAAAGGAAGCAGAAAGUUUCAUUUGAAAGUAAGGAUAAGGUAGGACUAAUUCAAGUAGAAUGCAGCCCCAAAGCUUCUUUCUUAUCCGAGAAUCUAGGCUCUGGCUAAGAACUGACAUCUGAGUAUAAAUUAAAUUUCAAAGCAAAAAGUACCCUGCAAUUUUACAGCACUCGCCUCCACCCCCGUGAGUGGAAAUAGAUGCGGCAGACGUUAUCCAAUUGGCAGUAAGUCUGCGUUCGCAGACAGGUUAAAUCAUCUGCUCACAGCCACGGAGAGGAGAACUCCAAGCCCUCCCUCGGUGCUGCCUCUGUUGAGCGCCGCUGUGUGUGGCAGGAUCACGACGGGCAGGACCGCAGCCAAGUGCGGAGGCCCUGACUGCAGUGUGAAAACGCGAGGGGGCUGCGGGCGCUGAGAACCAAAGGCUGAAAAAGGAAGAAGAGUUUUCCUUUUCCUCUUCCUAAUCAAAGUUUAAUAAAAAUCAAGUUUUCCUUUUCCUAAUCAAAGAAUCA
rnacentral:lncRNA from 1 species